AAUAAAAUAACCCAUAUGAUAAAUCAACGUUAACCACUCUAAGAAUAUCAAAAUAUAAUCAUGUUCUUGGGAUCAACCCCAGAACAAGGGUGUUUAGCUACUCAUGUUCUAAAUCAACAUCACGGAAAUAUAAUUAAUCAUACCAAAAAUUAAUGUUGAAAUAUGAAAUGUUCAAAGAACCCUAAGAGAAGUAUUGUAAUUUCCUUUGCCUCUGCUGUACGUUUGCCAAAAGUGUCCCCAUUUGAUUUUAAGUGUUACUUUUAUGGUAGGACAAAAUUGAAUAAAAGUUGACCGUCACCGCACCACGGAGCUCAUUGCGUGCACUAGGGUCCGCACCGUGGACCCUCACUAGAAUAUGGCAUGAGAAAUAAUUCAGCCUCCACGAUACGAGGCUAUCACGGAGGCUUACUGGAAAUUGCUGUCGACUAAUAAUCCCUUAGAGUGAUAAGUACCCUAUCAUAGGGACUAAGGUACACAAAGCAGAGGCCAUUGUCCUUCCUUUCCGGCUCUUUGCCUCUUUCCUUGAUCCUGUCUUUAGUUCCAUGCUUUCCGAGCCCAUUUCCAGUAUCCUCAUGCUCAACAAAUCAGUCCCACUGCUUCCACCCACCAUUAGCUUCUCGUUAAUGCUUCCAAUUAUGUUCAAUUUCAUCAAAAUUUUGGCCUGCAUCAACAAAUCAUGUCCAUCAGAUAAAGAAUACAAUUAUAGGCUCAACACAAUACAAUGAACACAUUUUAGCUCAUAGAAAAAAUAUAACUAUGGGUAAAUAUUAGCAAUUGGAUGUAUAAAUAUGCCCAAGAUCAGAUGACGUCCACAAGAAGCCUUUGAUCCAUUAUGUCGGUCUCAGUUUCAUUAUGGCAACAGAAGGUACAGAUCAAAUAGCAACACAUGAUAGAGUAAACUAAUGAACAAACUUGUAAUGGAACAUUUGCAGUUAAAACUCAAUAGGAAAAGCUUGCUGGUACCGCUUAUCAGUUUCUAGUUGAUUAGAAUUAUAGAAACUCUUACUGUUUAUCAUGUACAUAUCUGUGCAUUGCACAUAUCUCUUUUUGGGAAUCUUUAGAUUACCUAGUUUUGCUUUAGAAAUAGAAAGCCGAAUUUCUUCUUACAGCCAAAGCUAUCACUUUUUCUUGGUUUGUGCAGCUUUUCUUGGUCACCAAAAAGGCUUGAUGCUCUUAUUAUUCCAGAUAAUGAUCAUAAUUUAUUUAUGUUUAUUGUUAAAUAACUAAGUUUGACUGAACCCAUAACAUAAACACUUAUCCAACUCCAAUGAAUAGUAAUUGUGGUGUGUGGCCAACCUACGCACACAACGAUUAAUUUUACGGACUACCUACUAUAAAUAUUGUGUAACGUUGUCCCCAAGACUGCUCGAGCCAUACAAACAUUAUAAACACAAAAUUACUAAGAUCAAUAUGAAAAUAAUUGUCUUUAUUGGAUACAGGUCACACAGAAGAUGAACUUGAUAACACACUACAUCUACACAGAAAGUCUAAUAUUGCAGGAUACAAGGAAAAUACUACCUGCUGACAGGCCAUAUUAUACAAAACUCCUACAGCUAAAUGCAGAUAAUAGAAGCAAAAAUAUUAAAAUGCCUUAUGGUUAAACAGAACCAAGAUUUCAAAUGGCAAACUUACAGAUAGAAAUAAGUCUUUCCACUUACAUACAAUUCCUGCUCUUAGACGACAUUUCUUAGUGAUAAUCGUAUAAGGAAAAAAAGUUCACCUUUGAAACUACAAAAGCUAAAGUUCAGACAUAAUUACACAGAAAAGUAAAGGAAUUAAAGCUUGAAGAUUGAACUUUUUGGCAAAAAUCUGUAUCAUAAACGUCACAACCAUUUCAACUUUUUGAUGAAAAUCUUUAACGCAGUCGAAAAAAAUAGGCCAGACCCAUAGUGUUCACAACCAUAAGCACAUAAACAAGUAAAAUUUGUUGCUGAAAUUAUCAGAUGGAAAAGCAUAUACCAUCAUAUAGAACACAUAGGUAACAGAUCAACAGUGAAAACUGAAACUAAUUAUCGAUUUUCAUAGAAGAGAUGAUAAAGAGGAAUUUCAUCGAAUACCUAAUGCACAUAAUGAAAGUUGAAACUUAACAAAUCAGUCAUCCAAAUCAAAAGAAUGUCCGGGAAAAAGUAAGGACACCGACAAACAAAAAUUGAAUCUUUAACACCUAAUAUCAAAAACUAUGAAAACAAACAUUGAAGCUUUAAAAUGAUACAUCAACAAACUAUGAAAACAAGCACAGGCCCACAAACCAGAAUUCUUCAAAAACUCAUACACAUUGAAUUCUUUAACUUAAAACUAUAAAAUAUUUCACAUGCAAGAACUUAAGAUGUCAAAUUUACCAAAAGAUGAAGGACCAAAUCCCACUCAAACAAAUCUAAAAAUCUAGCAAAAAUAUAAACUUCACUCAAAUAAAUCUAAAAGUCAAACAAAAAUAUAAACACGAAGAGGAAACCAGAAGAAAAAAUAUGAAUCUUUACAUAUUCUUAAACCAAAUGAAGAGAUAUGGAGUAAUAAAAUAGAAUCAUUUCAAAGUUGAAGGAAAAAUUGAAACCUUAAAAUUGCAAUAACAGUUUAUCCGUAUCUAAAAUGAAAUUUCACAAAGUGACAUAACAGUAACAACCAUGAACACUCACCCGAGGAGAACAAGGAGCUAAGGGGUGAAGAAAAUUAUUAGAUUGAAAAUUCCUUUUUGUGUUCAUCUGUAACUCUGUUCAUGCUUACCUGUGUAGUUGGCAGUAUAUCAGUAAAACACAUAUAAAACUCACAGUAAAAAUAUGUAUAAAACUCACAAAAAUUGAGGAAAAUAGCCCUUGGGCGGCAAGCUGACGCUCAGCUGCUACCUAAGGUGCUUCUAUAUAUUAUUAAUUAAUUAAUUAAUUAAUAUAAUAUUAAUUAUAUUAAAAUAUGGGUUGAAUUCUGGCAUCCAGCUAUACUGGAAUAUAUAUCUAGUCAACGCCC
rnacentral:lncRNA from 1 species